rnacentral:lncRNA from 1 species
CAGGAGCUCCGCCAGCUGCCGGGUUUGAGGUCUCGAGCUCUUCUCCAAGGAGCCAACGCUACCCACAGGGACGCCAUCUUCACUUUAUUUUUGCAUCCAAGAACUUGAUGGAAUUGAUGAAAGUGCCGGAGUCUAUCACAAUGCAAAAAAUUUAUGAUUUAAAGAUAAAUGGAAGAAAUUUUAUGUGAUAAAAAUCAGUCAGCUGUUUCCCCCUACCUAUACCACUUGGAGGAAAGAGAAAAAUUAGAAGGAAUCUUAGCUUCUUCCACCUAAAAGGAUUGGAGCUGAAGAAUACAGUGUACAGACGCUCAGAGUCCUUCUGUGACUUUCAACCACCGGUGACAUGAACGGAGCAGGAGGACAUGGGCCCUCAGAUGACCUUGAAUUCCUGGCUAUCUUCUGUGCAGAUUCCACUCCCAUGC